rnacentral:lncRNA from 1 species
GCUUUCUGCAUCCUCCAAGAAUUUAAAAAGGAUUAAUGUUGGAACAAAGAAGAUUGGCAAAAAGGAGAGACAUCAAUAUGGACUGAAGUCACAGAAUGAGUUUCCUGGAAGAGAUGCUUCUUGAUAUGACCCUAGAAAGCUCCAUCAAAACUUAUAAAAUCUUGGGAAGAGGAACUGUGGCCCAUCACUGAUCAUUUCAUCUAUUAAGUGACCACUUAUUGUCUUAUAAUAGGAGAUGUUCUGGAAACAUGCAUUGAAUUGAAGUGGCUUUGAGGAAGCAUGAAAACAGGAUGGCAUCCUUUUGGCACCAUUUCUUAUGCUAUAAUAAGGAUUCCUUCUGUUUACACAUAAAACA